UUGUAGCCUGCUAUGGUAUAACUUAGUGGCAGACGGGUGAGUAAUAUAUAGGAAUCUACCUAGUAGUACGGAAUAAUUGUUGGAAACGGCAACUAAUACCGUAUACGCCCUACGGGGGAAAAAUUUAUUGCUAUUAGAUGAGCCUAUAUUAGAUUAGCUAGUUGGUGGAGUAAUAGCCUACCAAGGCAAUGAUCUAUAGCUGAUCUGAGAGGAUGAUCAGCCACACUGGAACUGAGAUACGGUCNAGACUCCUACGGGAGGCAGCAGUGGGGAAUAUUGGACAAUGGGCGAAAGCCUGAUCCAGCCAUGCCGCAUGAGUGAAGAAGGCCUUUGGGUUGUAAAGCUCUUUUAGUGAGGAAGAUAAUGACGGUACUCACAGAAGAAGUCCUGGCUAACUCCGUGCCAGCAGCCGCGGUAAUACGGAGAGGGCUAGCGUUAUUCGGANUUAUUGGGCGUAAAGGGCGCGUAGGCUGGUUAGUAAGUUAAAAGUGAAAUCCCGAGGCUUAACCUUGGAACUGCUUUUAAAACUGCUAACCUAGAGAUUGAAAGAGGAUAGAGGAAUUCCUAGUGUAGAGGUGAAAUUCGUAAAUAUUAGGAGGAACACCAGUGGCGAAGGCGUCUAUCUGGUUCAAAUCUGACGCUGAGGCGCGAAGGCGUGGGGAGCAAACAGGAUUAGAUACCCUGGUAGUCCACGCUGUAAACGAUGAAUGUUAAAUAUGGGAAGUUUACUUUCUGUAUUACAGCUAACGCGUUAAACAUUCCGCCUGGGGACUACGGUCGCAAGAUUAAAACUCAAAGGAAUUGACGGGGACCCGCACAAGCGGUGGAGCAUGUGGUUUAAUUCGAUGCAACGCGAAAAACCUUACCACUCCUUGACAUGAAAAUCAUACCUAUUC
rnacentral:rRNA from 1 species